AUAACGCCGAGUUUAGGAUAUCUUAGUGUGUUGCUAUGGAAGUGAUAUUAGCAAUAUUAGAAAUCCGGCACCGUGGGCUGAGUAGCAGCAGAAUGUGAUAGAAACUGAAAGUGUGGAUGCGGUAGAAGCAGCUUUCCUUUCAACACAGGUAUCUCCGAUUCUUCGGAAAACCGUCAGAGAGAAAGAGGACAGUAUGUCAGAGGAAAGUGCAUGGAAAGAUGAAAGACUGAAGAAUGGAUCAAUAGAGUCAUUACUAGAUGGAAAAUGCUAUGAAAACAUAUCGGUGAUGUACGAUUAAACUGAAGAACAAAAAUCAUAUACAAUCACUGGUUCCAGCUUUUGACAGGAAACACGAGCCUGUAGGCAUAGAUGGCUGUGAAUGGCAAAAUGCAGCUGCUGCCUUCAUUUGAAAAGCCUGAGGAAGAGGGAGAGCAAUCAAAGCGUGCCCCGGCGAUACGCCAUCAGUGCAGCGCUUCAGCUGCCGCAAACAGCCUUUGCGAGUCGCACCCUGAAGAGUGCUAGACAGGAUCCGGUGAUGCUGCCAGCCCCUUUGGAGGAGAUGCGCGGAAUAAAGGAAUAUUCAUGAAAGAAGGGAGGUUCCGCAGGGAACUGGGCAGCUGCAGAACCCGCUGUCCCUGCAUGGAGCACCACAGAGGUCCCAGCCUCGGCAGCUGCCCCCAGCCCCUCUCCAGCUGCAGGAACACCCUCCGCAUCCCUCGUCCCGCUCCUCACCAACAGGUAAGGCUGGAUUGUCUCCUGAGGCCUUGCAUUAGAAUUUGAGCUAUAAAGGAUGCUGCCGCCUGCACGCUGAGCCCGUGUGCUGGGAUGCCGGAGGGUACGGAGUGCCUGAUGUGCAGGCCCUGCUGAGCUCCUCCGGCACGUCUCGCGUCCCCUCUGCCAUCCCCAGGAACGCUGCCCUGCUGGCUGCUGUGUGCGUAUCCACGGACUCAGCCCGUGUUUAAAACACCAUCACUGAGAACCGGCAUACAGACACGGGGAGUUACCCCAGACCACCUUUCUCAGAAGCGCGGAUUUUGGCAGGCGCUCCGAAUCGUGUUGGCUGCUCAAGCGCUGUAGGAGGGAUCAAGCAGUGACAGCCCUGAGUCCAGGGUAACCAGGUGACAAGUCCAGGUAUUUGCUGACGUAGAAAGUUCUUCCACAGGGAAACGCGGAUGAAAAAUGAAGAGUUUUUCAUGAGGUCUCAAAUGACUGUAGCCCAGUCUUCUUCCAGAAAAAAAAAUGAUCACCUGUAAAGCUUUCCAGAGAGAUGAGAAGAGGAGGUAACGUACAGAGAAUAGGAAUACAUUUUGCACUUUUAAGUUUAUUUGUGAAGCAUUAUAUGACAUUAACUGACAUGUUAAAGCUCCCAUCAUCAGGCAUUCCUAAGAGUUAAAAGUAGUGAUUGCGGCCUUAAAAUGUCCUUGAUCUGAGCAAUAUUGCUAUUUUUUUUAGUAUGUGUACUUACCUUGCUGAGAUCCUCCACUUGUAUUUUUGUUGCUGUUUUCAUUUUUGUAUUUUCUGAAAGUAUCCACUGGCUUCAGUCUGAAGUAAAGCCCUAAUUUUGAACUGCUGUUGCUUGUUCACAGUACUUUUAAACUCUCUUUGCCUUUUUCCUUAUGUAUAAUAGCUUGUCCUCAUACAAUAGCUGUUUGUAACCAGGAGGUUCUGGUGAAGUUGGAAAUUUUUAAUGAAAAUUUGAACAAGGAAACAGUGGCUGGUGGUUUGGAGUGUCAGUUGGACAGUCUUCAUUAUGAUCACAGGAGGUAUAAACCCAAAUUAAACAUCUUGCAAAAUUUCUCUUAAGAAUAGUUGCAUAAAGACUAGUUGCAUAGAAAAGUUGUCAAAUUCAGCUCAGUCACCCAAACCUCUCUUGAUCUUCUGGCUCAAUUCAGGUGAUAGACAAAACGAUACACCAUGUAACUUGUGUUUCCUUUUGUAAAGAUGCUUUGAUUAACGAUUUGGUGAAAGAUAACUGCCCACACGCAAGAUGAGCCUAACAGUUAGGAAAGUUUAGCUGUAGUAUCUAUUUAGUAAUAAAGGUAAACU